rnacentral:rRNA from 1 species
GUGGGGAUGACGUCAAGUCCUCAUGGCCUUUAUGUCCAGGGCUACACACGUGCUACAAUGGUCGGUACAAACCGUCGCAAACCUGCAAAGGGGAGC